rnacentral:ncRNA from 1 species
GAGUUUGUGGACAGAUUUGGCCUAUUGCAACCACAAAAAAAAAUGCUAAAAACGUUUCA